rnacentral:rRNA from 1 species
GACGAACGCUGGCGGCGUGCUUAACACAUGCAAGUCGAGCGGUAAGGCCCCUUCGGGGGUACACGAGCGGCGAACGGGUGAGUAACACGUGAGCAAUCUGCCCAUCACAUCGGGAUAACUCCGGGAAACCGAAGCUAAUACCGAAUACGACCACCUCCGGCAUCGGAUGGUGGUGGAAAGUUCCGGCGGUGAUGGAUGAGCUCGCGGCCUAUCAGCUUGUUGGUGGGGUAACGGCCCACCAAGGCUUCGACGGGUAGCCGGCCUGAGAGGGUGACCGGCCACACUGGGACUGAGACACGGCCCAGACUCCUACGGGAGGCAGCAGUGGGGAAUAUUGGACAAUGGGCGAAAGCCUGAUCCAGCAACGCCGCGUGAGGGAUGACGGCCUUCGGGUUGUAAACCUCUUUCAGCAGGGACGAAGCGCAAGUGACGGUACCUGCAGAAGAAGCACUGGCCAACUACGUG